AUUAGGUUUGAGAGGUGAUUAUAGUUUUAUGUGGAACCAGAGCUGUUAUGAAUCGGAAGACAGAUGCUAAAAACUGAGUCAGAUAAAGGUACCUACUUUGCACUUGCAAGAUAGCACAACGCCUUCUGCUGUGUUGCAAUCUUUUAAUCUCUGUCAGCACAUCUUGUACUACAAAAUAAGUGUGGAUCAUGCAUAUAGAUAUAUGGGAAAUAUUUAUUUUAAGAUGACUACAAACUGCCAUACAUACAUGUAAAACAUAAUUUAAAAGUUCACCAUAAAAGAAGUACUUGAGGAUUGCAGAAGCUUAGCAGUCAUAUGCUAUAACUGUCAUAUGCUAAAAAUAUCUUGCUAUCUUGCUCUGGUUGACUUUCUGAAUUAACUGAACAGACACCAAAACAUAACCUAAACACUAGUAAUGUAACUUCUUCUUUCCUUUUUAUUUUCUCUCAACCAGUUCCUGUAGAUUUAUUCAGAUGUAAGUUUAUCCAUCUACUAUAUUUUGAUCACAGAUAUAUUAAUCUUCAGCACCAGGCCUCAAAUUCACUACACGACCUAGGCAAGGGAUGUUUGUGCUUGCAACGUUUCAGCAUGUUGACCUACUGCUUUUGAGCCUCUCACUACACCCAGGAUACACAGAUAAACUCUCAGGUGCAUGUGGUUUUGUCCUCCAGCAAGGACUGAUGUUAGAUGUGACUGCCCCAGUGCAGAGAAGUCAAGCAGUCUCCUCUUCCCCCCUGCAUCUGAGGACAGAGCUAUCGUUUGGUUGCAAACACAGAGGAGGUCA